AGACUUGCAAGGCGCCCAACUUCCACCCAUCUCCGAUCCUUGCUGGAGAAUGGGUCUGUGUCUCGGAGAGUGGGCAGCCCAAGAUGGACAAGGAGAGAAGUUUGUGAUCAGUUUGGCUAAGCUGGGCGUGGGGAGGGAAGGGGGAAAGAACCACCCCGAAAUCUCCAUCCACCGCCCCCUCAGCCAGCCGUCCCCUCUAAGCACGCCGUCCACAAAUUAACAAGCCGUUGUUUCCGCAGCUUCAUCAGUUCUUUAUUCCCCAGCCACAGCACCACCACUGUCCGCCAAAAAAGAAAGAAAAGAAAUCCGAAUUGCAAUCCCUCGCCUUUCUACUUAGAAAUGCUGGAGCUGCGCUGACCGCUCUCCCUCCCUUCCUCGCAGUGAAACGCUCUGCGUUUCCGCUCUCCCUCCAUUCCUCGCAGGGAGGCCCGAAUGCUCGCCGCCUUCUCCCUCUCUCGGCCCGGCCGGGGUCGCCUCGCGGCGCCGGGACCCGAAGGCCAGGCUCGCGGGCCCCUCCCAGCGACAGCCGGAGCCCGGCCCGCUAUCUCCACCACAUCUCACAGGCUGAGCCCACCCGCGCGUCUGCUCAGCUCUCCGCGGGGACCUCUCCUCUCCUCACCUCGUCCGCUCUGGGGCGCCGACUUGUCCCCCGCCGCCUCGAAUCUUCCGAGUCGCUGCAGGGGAGUCUCCGAAUUCCUAGCAGAAAUUGGGAUGGAAGGCCGGGAAGUAGGAGGUGUUUGCUCAACUUCUGAGGACGUCACGCCUCUGCCUCCCGUAGCCAAUCAGCAGCCGCCCUGCGGGAACAACCUUCUCCUCUGCCAAUCGGCGGCGCUGCCAGUUGCUACGUCAAGCCCGGCCCCUGCUCCUCCCCAAGAUCCUUCUGUCUCUGAUCUCUGACCUGCGUUCUUAGCUGGGACGUCGAGUUCUCCCAGGAUAAUUAUCGACCAGUUUUCAUGACAACCAGCAUGGUGAGCCUACAGCAUUUCAGAGGCAGAAAAAGAGUGCAUAGACAUGAAAAAGAGGGGCCAUAUUGAUAAGAAAAAUAGUACAGAGGUAAAAUCUAUAGUACUUUGAAGAUUCCUGAAAAACAGGGGAGAGAGAAAUGUUAUAAUUGAAAAUGACUGAGAAGAUGGUGAUUAAAUACAGUAGGUAGUGUUGAAGAGUUGUAUUAGAUAAAUUGAAUUCAGUGUUCCUGCAAGAUAUCUAAGUGACCACACACAGGAGGAACUGGCAAAUUCAAAACUAGAGUUUUUAGAAAAGUUAAGGCUACAGGUAAGGAUUUGGUAUUUGUCUGCAUAGAUGACCCAAACCAAAAAAGCUAGUGAAGAUACUGAGAGAGCACGAAGGAGAAAUGAAGAGAGUUAAGGACAUCGCCUUGUAAAAGCCUACAUGGGAGGGAAAGAUGAGACCAAGAAGGAAAGAGAAGGCACACCUGGAGAGUGCAACACAAUGGACUUCAAGAGAAGAAGAUGCUUCAAGGAUCUGCCAUGUAAGACGUGCCUUUCAGCUUCCACCAUGAUUGUGAGGUCUCUCCAGCCACAUGUAACUGAAGGAGUAGCCAUUAUUCAUGCCAUUGUCAAAACCUCAUGGCAACAAAACUUCCAGGACUGGAAUUGCAAAGAUGAUUACAAAGGGGAGCUCCACAAUCAGGUGUUCCAAGAUAAUGAAUACUUCCAUAGCAACAAAAGUCUGACAAUAAACGGUUACCUUGAUUUUCACAUUUUCAAAGAAAAAUCCCUCAAUGGCAACUAGAUCAGAAGUCUCAACACUGAAUAUGCAAUAAUGGCUACAAGGUGAACAGUUUUUCUAUUCCAUUUUCUUAGCAACAUCAUUGAUUGAUUUUCUUGGAAAGGAAGUUAGAUUGGAUUAGAUGAUCUUUUUGUUUCAGUCAUGUAGCUUGUUAUUAGCAAUUAAUAUAUGCAGUAGCUUUUGAAACAACACAAGUAAUAAGUGACUUCAGUAGAAAUUCAUUAUAUUCUAACACAAAUGAUUUAUAAAUGCAAUUUUAUUUUAAAAUUUCUAUCCUUUCUGUCUCCCUGAUUAUAAUUGUCAAAGUAUUCUGAUAGUAGAAAGUGUGUAUGACUGAAAAAAUGGUAUAAAAUAUUUCGGAUAUAGUAUAUACUCUAUAGGUUGAAUUCAAAAGACUGCUGUCACUGUACAUUUUUUCCCUAACAAAUCAUCUUUUUUCUAUGCAUAACCUAUGGUGAGGCAACGUUCUUUACAUUGUGUUAAACAAGAAAAUACUUUGUAAUGAAUUAAAGUUAAGGAAAGACUACAUCUAUCAGCCACAAGGAACUUGAGUUCUGGCAAUUUUGAGGGUUUAAGGCUCACAGUUUUAGCAGCUAUGUCUGCAUAAGGACUUGAUUGGAUCAAAAUAAAGAACACAAAGAUGAACAAGGGGCUCCCUGAAAAUUCAGAGCUUCAAUGAGUUCAGCACAAGUCCUAAAAGGACAUCUCCCUAAACAUUGACAUUAAACGUUUUUGCACUGGCUUGACUGGGUAUAACUUUAAAAUGAAAUACUAAGUGAAAUACCUGUAUAAUGAAAACUAUAAAACACUGACAAGAGAAAUUGAAGGGGACACC